UACUGUACACAUGAUUCAAGACAUGUUUGUUCAGUGAGUUUCCUGAUUCCUGAAUCAGGCUCCGUUAUUCACUACCACGUAUCUACUAUACAGAGUCAUACUUUGGACGCAGGAUGCAUUUUUACAUUAGCUUUGAAGUGUGUCUCAUAACUCUGUUGCUGAUCCUCCCUGAACGAGGGCGUCCUCAGUGUUACCACCCUUGGCCCAGGAGUCCAGGAUCUAUCCUGCCCCCCUGCUGUAUGCGAGUCUCAAUGGCCCGCAUUGGAGAACCCAUUGUUUCCUGCUUUGAACAGAAAGAAACCACUUUUUCUCAUUGUAGAAUACACGCAUUCAUUUUUACCACUGCGAACAAAACUCACCUCUGUGUGGAUCCAGAAGCCCAGUGGCUCAGUAGAAGAUUCCAAAGGUUACAAAAAAGAGGGAUAUGUUGCCACUGAAAGGCCUUCAACAGCCAAAAUGACAAUGACACAUCACGACUUCUGAGCAGAAAUCUUCACAGUUGCAUGAUUCUUCUCUUUAAUAUCUUAAAUUUACAACUUCAUUUGUCUAUUGUUUCAAUCAAGAUAUUAAAUACUGGAGUCAUUUUGA